UGCGAGUCAUUGUAGCAAUACAAGGCAGACGGCUCAGUAACGCGUAGUCAACCUAACCUAUGGACGGGAAUAACCUCGGGAAACUGAGAAUAAUGCCCGAUAGAACAUUAUGCCUGGAAUGGUUUAUGUUUCAAAUGAUUUAUCGCCGUAGGAUGGGACUGCGGCCUAUCAGUUUGUUGGUGAGGUAAUGGCCCACCAAGACUAUUACAGGUACGGGCUCUGAGAGGAGUAGCCCGGAGAUGGGUACUGAGACACGGACCCAGGCCCUAUGGGGCGCAGCAGGCGAGAAAACUUUGCAAUGUGCGAAAGCACGACAAGGUUAAUCCGAGUGAUUUGUGCUAAACGAAUCUUUUGUUAGUCCUAGAAACACUAACGAAUAAGGGGUGGGCAAGUUCUGGUGUCAGCCGCCGCGGUAAAACCAGCACCUCAAGUGGUCAGGAUGAUUAUUGGGCCUAAAGCAUCCGUAGCCGGCUCUGUAAGUUUUCGGUUAAAUCUGUACGCUUAACGUACAGGCUGCCGGGAAUACUGCAUAGCUAGGAAGUGGGAGAGGUAGACGGUACUCGGUAGGAAGGGGUAAAAUCCUUUGAUCUAUUGAUGACCACCUGUGGCGAAGGCGGUCUACCAGAACACGUUCGACGGUGAGGGAUGAAAGCUGGGGGGGGCAAACCGGAUUAGAUACCCGGGGUAGUCCCAGCUGUAAACUAUGCAAACUCAGUGAUGCAUUGGGCUUGUGGCCAAUGCAGUGCUGCAGGGAAGCCGUUAAGUUUGCCGCCUGGGAAGUACGUACGCAAGUAUGAAACUUAA
rnacentral:rRNA from 1 species